rnacentral:ncRNA from 1 species
AAAUUGAAGAGUUUGAUCAUGGCUCAGAUUGAACGCUGGCGGCAGGCCUAACACAUGCAAGUCGAGCGGUAACAGGAAGGAAGCUUGCUUUCUUUGCUGACGAGCGGCGGACGGGUGAGUAAUGCCUGGGAAAUUGCCCUGAUGUGGGGGAUAACCAUUGGAAACGAUGGCUAAUACCGCAUGAUGCCCUUGUUUAUAAUGAACAGGGACCAAAGAGGGGGACCGCAAGGCCUCUCGCGUCAGGAUAUGCCCAGGUGGGAUUAGCUAGUUGGUGAGGUAAUGGCUCACCAAGGCGACGAUCCCUAGCUGGUCUGAGAGGAUGAUCAGCCACACUGGAACUGAGACACGGUCCAGACUCCUACGGGAGGCAGCAGUGGGGAAUAUUGCACAAUGGGCGCAAGCCUGAUGCAGCCAUGCCGCGUGUAUGAAGAAGGCCUUCGGGUUGUAAAGUACUUUCAGUCGUGAGGAAGGGAGUAUCGUUAAUAGCGGUAUUCUUUGACGUUAGCGACAGAAGAAGCACCGGCUAACUCCGUGCCAGCAGCCGCGGUAAUACGGAGGGUGCGAGCGUUAAUCGGAAUUACUGGGCGUAAAGCGCAUGCAGGUGGUUUGUUAAGUCAGAUGUGAAAGCCCGGGGCUCAACCUCGGAGUUGCAUUUGAAACUGGC